GUAUAUAAUUACAUUGCGUAAACUAUUUUUCACUUUAAUAUCAAUCUGUUAAUGAAAUUUGAUCUUAAACAUCACGCCAUAAUAUUUAUCGAAAUGUUAUUUUCAUUUGGAUAUAAAAGCCGUACGUUUCCGCAUUUCACUCGUCGUCUGACGUUAUUUAAACAAUUAUUGUACGAUUGAAGUUAACUGAAAUUUAUUCCGAUUGUGAGUUCUAUAUAAAUUUAAGUUUUAUAUAUAAAAUAAACCCAAGAGAUGAUUUUUUAAAUUAACUCCUCAUGGGAGACGAACCUCUUGUGCUGGUGACAACACAACAAUUUGUGUUAAAAUGCCAAGAAUAAAUAUAGCAAAUGUUAUAAAUUUAUUAAUCACAAUGUUUAACUUUGCAAAUUUUGCUGUCUUACCUAUUAAUUACCGUGAAGUUGAACUUCAUGAUGCCAUUUCCGAUCUAAUAAAAAAAUGCUGUAAAUGAUGAUGUUGCGAUUGAAUACAAAUGAGAUAAUGAUUUUGACGAUCCGUCGGAACCGCACAAUGUAGAAUUUGUGGACGUGUAUGAUAUUGAUGCUGAAGAAGAUAAUUAUAAAGACGAAAUUUGUAUUGGAUAACGAAGGUGGAAAUGUAAACUUAAAUUACAAAAGAAAAGCAGUUAAAUCUUGGAACAGUGGAAAAAAAGGACAUUUAUUUAUUACUGCUGGACAGAAUCGUUUUAGAAAGGUAAAAUCUGUGUUGCAAUUGCAUAGAUGGGAAGAAAAUAUAAUGCGCGGAGGGUCAAACAGGGACAAACUUGUAUUUAUUGCCGAAUAUCUACUAAAGCAAUUCUAAGAAGCUAUUGAUAGGGGAUCUAUCAUUCACGACAGAAAUUUGCGAAAAUGGAUAUUACAAGCAAAGAAGCAAAUAGACUUUCCUUCAUUUAGAGCAUGAAAUUGCUGAUAUAACAAUAAGUCAAAGUGCAGAGGAAUUUGUGAGACAGAUUAAACCACAUAUUGAUGUAAUCGGUGCAGGAUCAAUUUAUAAUACAGAUGAAAGCAGAUUUAAUUUAGAAAUACAUUCUGGAAAAACAUUAACUAAUGUGGGAGUAAAAAAAAUCGAAUCUACUAUUCAAUCUUUAUCUUCUAUGACUCAUAGCUAUAUCAUUAUGCCCAUUAUAUUUGCAGAUGGACAUCUUCUUUCAUCUCUGUAUAUAGUACUAAAAGAAUCUAGUGGAAAAUUUGGACCACGAGUAGAAGAAACUUUUUUUAGACUUAUUAAUGUUUACAUUGCGGCUACAAAAUCCAGAAAAUUCACAAGCCAAUAUUUCAAAAACUGGUUUGGAGAAGUAUAUUUACGAAAUACUGGAGAAAAAAGUCUGCUACUGCUUAAUUCAUGAACAUGAUAUUGUCGGGAACAAUUUAAAAAAUUUAUACUAGCAGACAAACAAGUAAAUAUUUUAACAAUACCAAAAAAAAACAACUGCUUUUGUA